AUGCUCCCGCAGCCCCAUCGUCUAGGAGCUCCACGAGGAGAGGAGCAACAGCGCCCGCGCGCUCCUCCUCGCGACCCACCGCCCCGGCGAACCACCGCCGACGACCUCCUUCAGCAAGCCCCUCUGUCGCGCCCCUCCUCCUUCCUCCCUUUCUCUGGACCCUCAAGCUUCCUCUGUUCGUCUGGCAUAGGACCCCGCCAUGGAUGGCUGGCUCUGCCAAGCUCUGCCUUGCCGCUGUUCUGCACUCAUUCUAGCCGGGAAUUGAACGGAUCCGUCUUCCCUCGUCCGUCCCCGACCUAUUCUCCGGCAAGGUCCGCUCCACCGUCGUCGUCUAGGGCCACCUCCUGCCCGGAUACGUCCAGUCCGUCGCCUCCUACAAGCUGUAGCUGCUCGGCUUCCUCCAUGUUGCCUGCCUCUGCAACGGCGCAGAUGCAAGCGCCCUCAUCAGUUGACUACGUGGUCAACUCAUAUAAACGGGUCCCCCUUCUCUGCUUCGUCAUGUGGGUCGCGCCCACUGCGCAGCUCGACAGGCCACGGAAUCCAGGGACGCAAGGCCACCUUCGGAGAUCCCUUUUCGCCAAGUACCACGCCCGGUGA
rnacentral:rRNA from 1 species